rnacentral:lncRNA from 1 species
UGGAGUCAGUGGCUUGAUCUCAGCUCACUGCAGCCUCAACAGCCCCCGGCUUAAAUGAUCCUCCCACCUCCACCUCCUGAGAAGCUGGGACUACAGGCAUAUGCCACCAUGCCGGCUAAUUUUCUUUAUUAUUUGUAGAGACAAGUUCUCACUGUGUUGCCCAGGCUGGUCUCAAACUCCUGGGCUCAAGCAAUCUGCCCUCCUCGGCCUGCCAAAGUGCUAUGAUUACAGGUGUGAGCCACCAUGCCCGGCCCUGAUUCUACUUGUACAGAGAGAUCUGAGAUAGCAUAAGCCAGCAUUUUUAGAUAAGCCACUCUAUUCAUUAUGUGUGCAGUUCUUUACAACCGUAACGGAGGUGGGCGGAUUACUUGGGCUCAGGGCGGAUUACUUGGGCAACCAGCCUGGCCAACAUGGCAAAACCCUGUCUCUACCAAAAAAUACAAAAAUUAGCCGGGCAUGGUGGUGCAUGCCUGUAGUCCCAGAUACCUGGGAGGCUGAGGCGGGAGCAUUGCUUGAACCCCGGGGGGUAAAUGUUGCAGUGAGCUGAGAUCACACCACUGCAGAUCCUGGGCGACAAAGCUAGACCCCGUCUCAAAAAAAAAGAAUACGUCUUAACGUUUUGGAUUUGUUUGAAAAUGUUCUUCGUUCUUGGGCCUGUGAGCCUGCUGUAUUAAUAGCCUUGCUAUUUGUCUCAACUGAUUCACUUAUUAGAAUAUCACUUGAGUUGAAGACACUUGUAGUCGGCCAGUGUCUCUUGGUGUCCCAGAACCAAUAACUGACUCUAGAAAGCAGGAAGCCGUGAGAGCAACAAAUGUCCCCCAAAUGGCUAUCUGCUUGCUUGGUGUCCACUGGACCCUUGUGUUGUAUUUUGCUUAAUUUUAAAUCUUUUAAAAAUGUAAGCUGCUUUUUGUGCUGUCCUCUCCUGUUUCAUGACCAGCCACAGCAGUAAUAGCACUGAUA